GCCCGGAUGGUGGAACUGGUAGACACGCCAUCUUGAGGGGGUGGUGGGCGAAUGCCUGUGCGAGUUCGAGUCUCGCUCCGGGCACCA
rnacentral:tRNA from 1 species